CCUUCACAGACCCUGCUAAACAACCUCACCAUACUGAUACUACAAACCCCCCACACCUUGGGCACCAAAGGGGAACCAGCACUUGGCUUGCUGAUGCUGGGAGGAGUGACGGUCCCCGAUAAAAUAGGUACCAUGAGAUUUUAAUCACAUAUAGGACCCCAAAUUCGAUACCACGCUAUCACAGUAUAGCCACAGACAGCGCCCACUGAAACGACAAUGCAAGGCCCUACAGAAAC